rnacentral:rRNA from 1 species
AACCAGCACCUCAAGUUGUCAGGAGGAUUAUUGGGCCUAAAGCAUCCGUAGCCGGCUCUGUUAGUUUUCGGUUAAAUCCAUAUGCUCAACAUAUGGGCUGUCGGAAAUACUGCAGAGCUAGGGAAUGGGAGAGGUAGACGGUACUCGAUAGGAAGGGGUAAAAUCCUUUGAUCUAUUGAUGACCACCUGUGGCGAAGGCGGUCUACCAGAACAUGUUCGACGGUGAGGGAUGAAAGCUGGGGGAGCAAACCGG